AGGACGAACGCUGGCGGCGUGCUUAACACAUGCAAGUCGAGCGGAAAGGCCCUUCGGGUACUCGAGCGGCGAACGGGUGAGUAACACGUGAGCAACCUGCCCUUAGCUCCGGGAUAGCUCCGGGAAACCGGAAUUAAUACCGGAUACGACCACGGCCGACAUCUGCUGUGGUGGAAAGGAUUCCGGCUAAGGAUGGGCUCGCGGCCUAUCAGCUAGUUGGUGAGUAACGGCCCACAAGGCGACGACGGGUA
rnacentral:rRNA from 1 species